rnacentral:lncRNA from 1 species
UGUUUCCCUGGAGCAAAAGUCCUUCUUAAAUGCUAUGUGUAUUUUCUAUAUUCCUUGCAGAGAGAAGUCCAAAGAGUUGUCACCUUGUCUUUGGAGUCCAAUUCUGAAGUCUAUCAACCCUGCACCCUCAGAGCUACUCAGGAUUUCAGGUUUACUCACCUUCUCUUUCUCUGGUUGUGAGUGAAAAUCCAGAGGAAGGUAGGCGCCAGCUGAGGUACUGAAAAUGCAAUCACAGGUGAGUAUGAAAUUCUUCAACUGAAAUUGCACUUCUCUUGCCAGGAGU